rnacentral:rRNA from 1 species
ACGUAGGUGGCGAGCGUUAUCCGGAAUUAUUGGGCGUAAAGGGAGCGCAGGCGGUUGAUUAAGUUUUAGGUUAAAGCGUGGGGCUUAACCCCAUAAAGCCUAAGAAACUGGUCAACUAGAGUGCAGAAGAGGGUAGUGGAAUUCCAUGUGUAGCGGUAAAAUGCGUAGAUAUAUGGAGGAACACCAGUGGCGAAGGCGGCUACCUGGUCUGUAACUGACGCUGAGGCUCGAAAGCGUGGGGAGCAAAUAG